CAAAAUCUAGGAAUUCGAACUACGGGUCGGAACACCAUCUACGACCCUCCACGAAGUAUGGAAAAGUUCGGAUCACUAAUCAAACACUCGAACCUCGCAAUUUGCAAAGGUCCAAUGUGUUACAGACGCUUCUCGAGGUGAGGAGCUUCGAUGAGUUGAGACAGAGGUUGAUGUCGGCUCAUAUUCUUUACUUGUUCCGACAUAUACCAAAUGUAGUUCCCCGCAUCCAUCACCUCCUUGUCCAACCUCCCACUACCGGAGCCCCGUGCCGCCGCCACCGCAGCCAUUGCUCACGACCCCUUACUUACUCCCACACAAAUUCAACCAUCCCUCUCACAGAGGUGGCGCCUGGCAACGGCAGAGUAUGAGGAGGCGGCGAUACCCCAAUUGGACCGACAGAGCUUCUCCCAGAUAAAGUCCGCGGCAGUGAGCGGCGGAGGUGGUUCCAGGCGGCGAAAAGGCGAAGGAAAAGGGAGCGGGGAUGAGGGAGAAAAUAGAGAGGAAGGGUUUGUUGGGAGAAAGAGAGAGAGAUAGGGAGAGUAGAAAAAUCUGGGAAGAAUGGGAGAAAGAGGGAAGAAUGGAAGAGGAUAAGGGAGAGUAGAAAAAAAGUCUAAGAAGAGGCGUGGGCAGAGAAAUAGGAUGAUCGUGUGCGGG
rnacentral:lncRNA from 1 species